UAAAGGUUUUAAAAAAUCGAUAUAAUAUCCAGCAACUUCACACAGCCAUUGAAGAGGAGUGGGACAACAUUCCACAGGCCACAAUCAACAGCCUGAUCAACUCUAUGCGAAAAAGAUGUUUCGACUGCAUGAUGCAAAUGGUGGUCAAUACCAGGUACGGACUGGUUUUCUGAUCCACACCCCCAACUCUUUUUUUAAAGGUAUCUGUGACCAACAGAUGCAUAUCUGUAUUCCCAGUCAUGUGAAAUCCAUAGAUUAGUGCCUAAUUUAUUUAUUUCAAUUGAAUGAUUUCCUUCUAUGAACUCUAACUCUGUAAAAUCUUUGAAAUUGUUGCAUGUUGUGUUAAUUUUUGUUCAUUGUAGCUAUCCAUCUAACUUGAAUUAUCUUUUCAACACCAGUAGUUAGCUAGUUGAACAUGGACAAAGAUGUUGUGCUUGCCAUUCAACUGCAGGAGCAGUUUGACUUCGAGGCAUCCUCAUACACACCAACUGAUGAUAACUAUGGCCAAACCAGCAAAAAAAUGAAAGUUGAGUCUAGCAGCAACGAUGUCAUUCCCUAUUUAUGUCCAUCUUGACCUAAGUCCAGAUGUGAGGGCAAUGCUUCUGGAGUUCGAUGACACGUUCUUCGGGGGAAAGCUCAGUGGUGUAGAAGUCAAAUGGAGCCCCUGAAUGAUACUACACUUCUGCAUGAGAUAAUCCAUGCACUGCUCUUCGUGACUUAGAACAACAGAGGUCAUGAUGGGCAUGGACCUGAGUUCUGCAAGCACAUGGAAAGAAUCAACCAUACCGCUGGAACUGAAAUCGCAGUCUAUCACACUUUCCAUGAUGAAGUGGAUCUCUACCGUCCGCACUGAUGACGGUGUGAUGGGCCCUGUCAGACUCGUAAGCCCUACUUUGGAUAUGUGAAGAGGGUAAUGAACCGUGCCCCCUCAGCCCAAGACACAUUGUGGGGGGGGGGGGUCACCUAUGCUCCUGUGGGGGCACCUAUACAAAGGUCAAGUAGCCAGAGGGUUAUGGAAAGAAAGUAAAAAAGACAGACAACAGCCAAGGCAAGACAGACACCAGCAAAGACAAGAAGCCUACAGACAAGCCCACAAGCAAGUGCAAAGCUUCCAGCACAUCUACUGUAGGCUCUGGAUUACAGGAUAUAAGGAAUAUCAUUCCAUUCAGUGACAAAGGUUUUUUGCUUGGAGGGAGUUCACAGCCACCAUCAUCAACUCAAAAACCUCUUGUCAACAGUCCCACAAAACCUCUCAAUACUCCUGUGUCUCCCAGACCUGUACUGUCUCCUACACCUCAGGCAUCAGCUAAAGGAAUCAACUCACCUGAACGGCCAGGUCUGAUUAUCCCACAGAAGAAGGGGAGCACCACAACCUACAUAGCAGGGGUAGCCCAUGGUUCCUUCAGAGGACAGAAACCACCAAAAAUGUCAGCAAAACCAAGGCAUUUUUAAACAUCAAUGGUUCACCUGCUAGGGUUUACAAACCCAACAGCACUGUGACCAAGCCACAUAGUGACUCCUCAGAUGCUUUAAAGACCAAACAAAGUUUUGUCCAAGGCCUUGUUAAUGCCAGUGGCUGGAAGUCUGGAACUGCAGCUAGUGCUAGUACCUCCACGGUCUCAAAACCAGCAGCUGAGACCAAAAUGGCAUCUUCAUCUGUGGGUGGUUUGAACUUUGGGAAACCAGCCAAAAACUGCCAUUUCCUCAGAUACCAGACAGCCAUUUCUCUGGUGUCCCGGCCGCAUCAAAACCUGGGUCCCCCGAGCCUUACCAUUCCAACUAUUUUGAAGGCCCUGAAAAUCCUAGUAGAGUCAACAUUCCAGUUUCUAGGAAGAGGCCUUGGGAAGAUUAAACUUCUGCUCACAUCUUUGACCAUCAACGUCUAGGUGUACAACGGAGGACAAAGCAGCCCCUUCUGCAGUUCAGAACAGCACUGCCAGCUCUGCAAGCCUUAAUGUGACCGUCAGCGGCCCAGUAUGCCAAGCCAAGGUGCAAGAGUCAAUAAUCAAUGCACAUUUAGAUUCCUGUCUCUCAUGAGAACGGAAACGUGAGCUGAAAUCCCAGCAACCAUUUUAUAUUGCAAAGCUUUUAACAAAUCUCAGCAUAGGUGAAGUUUUAGAGUUUGUUUCCUUGAAUUCAAAGCCAAUUUUGCUUAUAAGUUUAAAUGUACUUUCUAUCUCAUGUAGGACUGCUGUAAGAGAUACAGGUUUGAAGUUUUCCAGUUUGACUUUUGCUUGCAUCUACUAUGUCUUGUAGCCCAUUGUUCAAUUGUGAAAUUCUAACUCAAACUAUCCAAAUGUUUUAGCGUUGGAAAUGUCCUCUCUUAGGAAGAAUUGAUUUAAUUGGUACCACUUCUACUUGAUGGCUCAAGGCAAUAUUGCUAUGACAUAGGCAAUUUAUAUAGUUGCUGCGGUCUUGAAUUUGGAAUAUGUCUGUCUGGUAUGCUGAUCUGGUAUUAUAACAUUUCACACAUGCUUGCUAUUCACUGGUAUUAAUUUUAUUUAAAUAAUAAAAUGUUCUUACAAUACCCUAAGUAUCAUCUGGCUGAAUGUGCCUUUUCAUAGUCCUCCUCAAUGUCCGACUACAAUGGUAGACUAAUGGAAAUCAAUAAGAGUCUCAAGUACCCUUUCAUCAUAUCACUAAACUAAUUCAAUUGACUUAAAAAUGACAUAAUUCUCGGACACAUAUACUUCAACACCCAUACAUGCUCAGAUGCUUUUGAAUAGAUUUCCUGCCUCCCCAA